GAUGAACGCUGGCGGCGCGCCUAACACAUGCAAGUCGAACGAUUAAAGCACCUUCGGGUGUGUAUAAAGUGGCGAACGGCUGAGUAACACGUGGGCAACCUGCCCCUUUCAUUGGGAUAGCCACGGGAAACCGUGGAUAAUACCGAAUACUUCGAGACUUCCGCAUGGAAGACUCGAGAAAGCUCCGGCGGAGAGGGAUGGGCCCGCGGCCUGUUAGCUUGUUGGUGGGGUAACGGCCUACCAAGGCAAUGAUGGGUAGCUGGGUUGAGAGACGGACCAGCAAGAUUGGGACUGAGAAACGACCCAGACUCCUACGGGAGGCAGCAGUGGGGAAUCUUGCACAACGGGCGAAAGCCUGAUGCAGCGACGCCGCGUGCGGGAUGAAGGCCUUCGGGUUGUAAACCGCUUUCAGCAGGGACGAGGCGAAAGUGACGGUACCUGCAGAAGAAGCCCCGGCUAACUACG
rnacentral:rRNA from 1 species